AACGAACGCUGGCGGCAUGCCUAACACAUGCAAGUCGAACGAGACCUUCGGGUCUAGUGGCGCACGGGUUCGUAACGCGUGGGAACCUGCCCUUAGGUUCGGAAUAACUCCCCGAAAGGGGUGCUAAUACCGGAUAAUGUCUUCGGACCAAAGAUUUAUCGCCUUUGGAUGGGCCCGCGUUGGAUUAGCUAGUUGGUAGGGUAAAAGCCUACCAAGGCGACGAUCCAUAGCUGGUCUGAGAGGAUGAUCAGCCACACUGGGACUGAGACACGGCCCAGACUCCUACGGGAGGCAGCAGUGGGGAAUAGUGGACAAUGGGCGAAAGCAUGAUCCAGCAAUGCCGCGUGAGUGAUGAAGGCCUUAGGGUUGUAAAGCUCUUUUACCCGGGAUGAUAAUGACAGUACCGGGAGAAUAAGCUCCGGCUAACUCCGUG
rnacentral:rRNA from 1 species